GACGAACGCUGGCGGCGUGCUUAACACAUGCAAGUCGAACGGAAAGGCCCUGCUUUUGUGGGGUGCUCGAGUGGCGAACGGGUGAGUAACACGUGAGUAACCUGCCCUUGACUUUGGGAUAACUUCAGGAAACUGGGGCUAAUACCGGAUAGGAGCUCCUGCUGCAUGGUGGGGGUUGGAAAGUUUCGGCGGUUGGGGAUGGACUCGCGGCUUAUCAGCUUGUUGGUGGGGUAGUGGCUUACCAAGGCUUUGACGGGUAGCCGGCCUGAGAGGGUGACCGGGACGAGGGGGGCGGGAAAAUUGCCAAAGGGGCGGGGGGCGGAAGCAGGGGCGCCGGUGGCGGAAUGGGGGGCUUCGGGUUGAAAACCGCUUUCGCGGGGGACGACGGGUGAGGGGCGGUAAAGGGUAAAGAACCACCCCCGAACGACG
rnacentral:rRNA from 1 species